rnacentral:rRNA from 1 species
AUUGAACGCUGGCGGCAGGCCUAACACAUGCAAGUCGAGCGAGCGGCGGAUGGGUGAGUAAGGGAUGGGGACUGCCCGAUAGAGGGGGAUAACUACUGGAAAAGGUGGCUAAUACCACAUACUGUCGGAUAACAAAUAUGGGAUUAGGUAGUAGGUAAGGUAAUGGCUUACCUAGGCGACGAUCCCUAGCUGGUCUGAGAGGAUGAUCAGCCACACUGGGACUACGACACGGCCCAGACUCCUACGGAGGCAGCAGUGGGGAAUAUUGCACAAUGGGCGCAAGCCUGAUGCAGCCAUGCCGCGUGUAUGAAGAAGGCCCUAGGGUUGUAAAGUACUUUCAGUCGGGAGGCGUUACCGACAGAAGAAGCACCGGCUAACUCCGUGCCAGCAGCCGCGGUAAUUC